GAACUGGUCGCUCAGCUGGAAGAGCGCCCCGCGACGAACGGGGAGGUCGCAGGUUCAAGUCCUGCCCAGUUCACCA
rnacentral:tRNA from 1 species